GACAGAGGUGCCGAGCGUUAGGCGGAAUCACUGGGCUUAAAGCGUGUGUAGGCGGAUUUUUAAGUACCUUGUGAAAUCCCACGGCUUAACCGUGGAACUGCUUGGUAUACUGGAAAUCUUGAGCCACUUAGGGGCGAGCGGAACAAAUGGUGGAGCGGUGAAAUGCGUAGAUAUCAUUUGGAACGCCAAUGGUGAAAACAGCUAGCUGGGAGUGUGCCGACGCUGAGACACGAAAGCCAGGGAGCGAACGGG
rnacentral:rRNA from 1 species